rnacentral:lncRNA from 1 species
CAUCGAGUCGAGCAACCAUAUUCUCGACAUUCUCAUUAUGCCACUUAUUCUUUACGAUGAUCUCUUUCUCCUUCUCAUGUAUAUAGUAUUAAGAAGGAGAAGAGGCUGCGUGUACCUUCUGCUUCUCUAUCCUCGAGUUCUUCAAAGGAUUCUAUCCCUGGAUUUUUUCAGUAACAGCGGCUAGACGACUACGAGUGCAGGUUCAAAG